rnacentral:rRNA from 1 species
GUCUAUGGCCAUGCCACCCUGAUGUCUGAUCUCAGAAGCUAAGCAGGGUCAGGCCUGGUUAGUACUUGGAUGGGAGACCUCCUAGAAAAACCAGGUGCUGUAGGCA